UGAAUAUCUUGAUACCUAUCAUCGCGACUGUCGUCUGCGUGUUUAUGAUCUUGGCGCCAUUAAUUUCCGAUCCUACCUGGGAGUACCUGUACGCCUUUGUAGUAAUGGCCAUUGGUCUCGUGGUCUACCUCGUAUUCGUCUGGGGGAAAAGACACCUACCCUUCAUGAAUCACGUGACACUGUUUCUGCAGAAGUUCCUUCUUGUCACAACGUCAACGGAGGAUUCUAGCAUUCACGAAUAACGAAAACAGCACCGGGUCACUUAAAUAAGUGGAUAAGAUAACUCUUCAAAGAUUCACACUAUAUGUUAUUGCCUUAAACAGCAUUUGUUAUGGUGAAAUCACAGUAUUCAAUGUUUUUUUUUUUCAACAUGACCCUGUUUAUUAACUGUACUUGUUGUAAGAUUAGCACUGUAAACUUGGGCCUACAUGCUCUGUAAGUAUAAAUGAGGUUUGAAACUAUUAUUCGUGAUGUCAUUGUUUAACAGAAAAGUGCCUUUACUAAGUUCUGCUAUUUACCGAGAAAUUUUACGUUUUUCUGCCUAAUUUCUACUGCAUUCAUGCAAGUUAAUGUUAUACGAAAGGUCUCAUAAAUCAAUCGACUAUUUCACAAUCUGCUUUAAUAUGGAGAUUAUUUUGCAUUCCUGAUAAGAAAAAGGUUUCCGUAAGAUAAUCUGUGAAGCAAUCUAUGAAAUAAUUUUUGAAAAAAAGAAAACAACUGUAAACUUUUCUGCUUCAAACGUUAAGGUUCCAAUUAUGUUUUGUCUGCUUUGAAGAUUGUUUUAUAGAAGUGUUACAGGAUUAAACGAGAAGUGUUAGGCCUAAAAUAAAGCAAAAUCACUCCUGGAACAUUAA